GUGAAUCAUCAAAUUUUUGAACGCAAAUUGCGCUUCCUGGUAUCCCGGGAAGGAUGCCUGUUGGAGGGUCAGUAUUAACAAAAAAUCUGUUUGGUUGCAAAUUGUUACGGUUCCGGGGUUUGGGCUUAUCUUAACUUUGUUGGUUAAGAGGCGUAAAAUUGACUUUUUUUGCGCAUUUUAGAUGUACAUAAAUUCUUUUUUUUAUUCGUCUGGCUUGAUGCUCAAAAUCCUAUUAGAUGCGACCAGAUCGUGUGGUUUCGUGUCUAUAAAUGUUUCAUGAUUUGACCUCAAAUCAGGUAGG
rnacentral:misc_RNA from 1 species